AGUAAGUUAUUGCCAGGGUUUUUAUUUUAUACUUUAAACAUUGAUUUUAUUUUUUAUGUUUUUAGAUGUUCAUGUUUUUGAAUAUUUUAUUCAAAUAAUAUAAAAAAUAAAAUAUAUAUUGACAUGGAUUAAACAAAGAUAUAUAUUAUUCUAUGUUGCAUAAACAAAUUGGCAAAAUAGAGAUGGAAGAUAAAAAUAUGGUCAAAGUAAUAAGAGUC
rnacentral:misc_RNA from 1 species